rnacentral:rRNA from 1 species
GAUGAACGCUGGCGGCGUGCCUAAUACAUGCAAGUCGAGCGAACAGACGAGGAGCUUGCUCCUCUGACGUUAGCGGCGGACGGGUGAGUAACACGUGGAUAACCUACCUAUAAGACUGGGAUAACUUCGGGAAACCGGAGCUAAUACCGGAUAACAUGUUGAACCGCAUGGUUCAACAGUGAAAGACGGUUUUGCUGUCACUUAUAGAUGGAUCCGCGUCGCAUUAGCUAGUUGGUAAGGUAACGGCUUACCAAGGCAACGAUGCGUAGCCGACCUGAGAGGGUGAUCGGCCACACUGGAACUGAGACACGGUCCAGACUCCUACAGGAGGCAGCAGUAGGGAAUCUUCCGCAAUGGGCGAAAGCCUGACGGAGCAACGCCGCGUGAGUGAAGAAGGUCUUCGGAUCGUAAAACUCUGUUAUUAGGGAAGAACAAAUGUGUAAGUAACUAUGUACGUCUUGACGGUACCUAAUCAGAAAGCCACGGCUAACUACGUG